rnacentral:lncRNA from 1 species
CAUGUUAUCAUACAUGUGAACCUCCCGAUGGGAGUACAAUACUCCCGUUUUCAGGGGUCCCCUCCCGUGUUCCCGUCGAAGAGGAAAAACUCCUGUGCAGAAAAAAUUUUAUGAAUGAAAAUUUUCAGUCGCCAUUUUUACUAUUUUGUUUACAAAAUUUAUUAUUGAGAUCGUAAAAACCAGAGAUUUUUUAAGUCGUAAAAACACGAGGUUUAUCGAACGUAUCCGGUGUAUCCUGAUUACGCAACAUGUGGAGAUUUAAAUCCUUGCUUAGGCUAAUUAACAGUGAUAAUAAUUUGAUUGAACAAUCAUAAGGUGUUGGAUUAUCAAUUACUCUAUGUGGCUUCUGUUUAUGGCACACGCCAAGGAUGAUUAAAGGUAAAUACCGAUAAAUACCGGCACUGAUAGAAAAUGGAAUGUUGUUGUCUGAACAUUUAUCGGAAGUUUUUUGAUGCAG